UCCAUCUUUCUCCCAAAAUCUCCGUCUCCCUCUCUUCCAGUUAAGUAAUGGCUCAUGUUUGGAGACUUUCAUAAGGCUUUUGAAAUUCCAAGAAAGAGAAUCAGAAUCGAGUAGUUGGAACUUGGAAGUGGCUUCACUGAAAUUAACAGGGGAGGGCAUGUCGAAGAGCCCUUUUAGAUAAGGGUGCAUGUGUACGUACUAGAUAAGAGGGACCCCGAAGAAGAGCCGGCCCUUCUACACGGGGGCUCGUGCUGGCAUUUAUAAACUUACAGCAGUAUCGAUCUUCACAUGGAGGGCCAUGCAGACUUACAUAUCCCGUGUCACAAGUCCACCUCAGCGCCCUCCGAAAAUUGAAGUUGAAAUCAAAAUUUAGAAAUUCAAAACCACAUACGACAUGCAGAGAGAACAAAAUCCUAAACUUGAAUCUUUAUUUCUCUUUUGAAUAAAAAUAGAAAACUUUAUAUACAUCAGAUAGCCAAUCUCAGUUCACUUUCUG
rnacentral:lncRNA from 1 species